rnacentral:rRNA from 1 species
GACGAACGCUGGCGGCGUGCUUAACACAUGCAAGUCGAACGAAGUGGCGAACGGGUGAGUAAUGCGUAAUCAACCUGCCCUUCAGAGGGGGACAACAGUGGGAAACGACUGCUAAUACCGCAUAGGGAAGGAGGGGAAUGUGUCUGAUUGGCUAGUUGGGGGGGUAACGGCCAACCGAAGCGAUGAUCAGUCGCCGGGCUGGGAGGAGGGACGGCCCCCUUGGGACUGGGGCACGGCCCAGACUCCUACGGGAGGCAGCCGUGGGGAAUCUUCCGAAAUGGGCGGAAGUCUGAAGGCGCAACGCCGCGUGGGUUAUGACGGCCUUCGGGUUGUUAAGCUCUGUUAAUCGGGACGCGGUACCGGAAUAGGAAGCCACGGCUAACUACGUGCCAGCAGCCGCGGUAAUAC